AUUGAACGCUGGCGGCAUGCCUUACACAUGCAAGUCGAACGGCAGCACGGGUGCUUGCACCUGGUGGCGAGUGGCGAACGGGUGAGUAAUACAUCGGGACGUACCUUAUCGUGGGGGAUAACGCAGCGAAAGCUGUGCUACUACCGCACACGCCCUGAGGGGGAAAGCGGGGGAUCGCAAGACCUCGCGCGAUUAGGACGGACGAUGCCUGAUUCGCUUGGUGGUGGGGUAAAAACCCACCAAGGCGACGAUCAGUAGCUGGUCUGAGAGGACGAUCAGCCACACUGGGACUGAGACACGGCCCAGACGCCUACGGGAGGCAGCAGUGGGGAAUUUUGGACAAUGGGGGCAACCCUGAUCCAGCAAUGCCGCGUGAGUGAAGAAGGCCUUCGGGUUGUAAAGCUCUUUUGUCAGGGAAGAAACACCGGCUCUAACACAGUCCGGGAAUGACGGUACCUGAAGAAUAAGCACCGGCUAACUACGUGCCAGCCGCCGCAGUAA
rnacentral:rRNA from 1 species